rnacentral:lncRNA from 1 species
AUGGCCCAGGUGAUCUUUCUUCUUAGCCAGUUAUGUGCUUGCCGGAGAAGUGAUGAAUCUGCCAACUGCAGCCAUGCAUCCAUUUGCUUCAUGCCUUACGAUGCCGUGUCUAAGAAUUCCAGAACAACAUGCAAACUACCACUAAAACCAAAAGGUGACCCGAACAUAUCGUCAUGGUUCCACUGUUGGGCGGGCACAGAGGAGCAGCAGCCUACGUAUUCGUACAAAGAGAAGCACGCCAUCCUGAUCGAGCUGAUUGUAACCUCGGUUUCUUUUGCUCAAUUUUUUCAUAAAUCUGGGGAUUGGGAAUUUCUACUCGUGGAGCAACAACGUUUCUAUUUUUCUUUUCUCAGCACAUACGUGGAUCACGAAGUCAUUGUUAUUCCAUCCUUCAAAUCCAAAGCUCAUUGUUACUUGUUCGAUGGAUGGUUUUUACUCUUUGGAUCUCGAAGGGAUAAAGUUGAGCAAUGACUUAAGAGUU